UAGGACAGGGAUCAUGUCUUAUUUAU
rnacentral:piRNA from 2 species